UACAGAGGUGGCAAGCGUUGUUCGGAUUUAUUGGGUUUAAAGGGUGCGUAGGCGGUCCUAUAAGUCAGUGCUGAAAUAUCCCGGCUUAACCGGGAGGGUGGCAUUGAUACUGCAGGACUUGAGUGAAGUCGAGGUAGGCGGAAUUGACGGUGUAGCGGUGAAAUGCUUAGAUAUCGUCAAGAACACCGAUAGUGAAGACAGCUUACUAGACUUCAACUGACGCUGAGGCACGAAAGUGUGGGGAUCAAACAGG
rnacentral:rRNA from 1 species